AACAAGAACGCGUGGUCAACAAUGGCAGGUCGGCACACUUCAAUUGCGAAUACUGCUGCUGUUGCUGCUGCUGCUACAAAUGUUCAAUACGAGCGUGCCUUGGUGAGCAUCGAGUAUGUGCGUGUGAACAAUAUUGAUAAAAGGACUCCUGGUCACCUCUACGGAACAGUAAAGGUCAAGGACUUCUGGGGCCUUCAUACGGUGUAUGAUCGGAGUUCAAGUGACUAUGAGAGCAAAGGUCCUGGCGAAUUUGCCACAUUGACAGGCCCUUCUGAUGCUAUUUCGGGCUAUGAUGUGUUUAUUAUCAGCGUCAGUUUGUGGCACCAUGACAGCUUGUCCCCCAAGGAUGAGAUUGCUCAAGGUGACAUCGUGUGGGAACCAAGAAAUGAGAAUCUAACUUUCGCCAAUUACGACAAGCGUUUGGAGAAGGUUGUGUUUGGUCAAUAUGGCAGUGUUACAGUGGGUUACUCCGUAAUAAGAUAUGCUCUUAACGCCACUGUCAAAGUUGUGCUGAUCAACGGGGAUAAUAAAUCGCCGGCGGAUGUGCAUGGAACAAUUAAAGCUUCGCAGGUUAUAGGGGUAUCAGAGACAUCCCUCACAUUGUUUGAGAAAUCAUCCGGUGAAUAUGUCCAAGUGAGUCCCAAUCAAUCUAUUCCCCUGACUCGUUCAGUUGUGGUAGCACCAGCAAGUUCCGGGUUAACAAUCAUGGCAGAUUUGUGGAAUUAUGAUACGCUGUCACCUGGUCACCAAAUUGCAAAGGGAAGUGCGCACUUUGAUGCCGUGGUCGGAACCCAAAUCAAGAGCAUAUACAGUCAACAUGGUGAAGUGCAAGUAUCCGUCACUUGUGAGUAAUUGAGGUAGCAACACUCUCCUUGCCCAACCUUGCCUGCCGGUUAUAAAAGUAAAGAGGAUAUUACAAGUUCUGUUCAGAAUUUACUGUGUUGUGAAUCAUCUUGCAAUAUGUUUAGGCUGCUCUGGGCACCAGUGUAAAGUUAUAACAUACUAGAAUUCUGCUUUCUCUCCUAUACAUCUUCUUCCUUCUAGUAUUGUUUCACUUGCUGUUUUCUGUGCAUCUUGUCUCAAUUGAAACUGAUGCUGUUGCUAACAUUUAGUUUGAUAUAAGGUUUUCUCUUCAGCCUUUGAUCUUUGAUACAAGAGCAUCUUUUGCAAGAACGUUUACUUAAUUUCUAUUUUCAACAUUUACUAUAAAUUGCCAUCAUUUUUGCACAUUUUUUUACCAAUAAUUAUGGAUAUUUUUAUAUUUGUCCAUAUAUGCAUCCGUUAUCCCUAAAUUGGUUGGUUGAUAUUGGUGCUCUAAUCCUAUGGUCAUAUCCAGUAAGUAGUUAGAGAGAUAUUUUUCCAUGAGAGCCUUUAAACCGAGCAGGCAAGCAGAUCAGAAAUAAAUGGGCCACGAGGGGAAAAGCGACUGAAAAUGACAAAAAUGUAAAAAACAUCAAUUAUUCAAAGUUUUCUAUUUUCAAGUGUUUUUGCUAUCUGAAGAAGAAUUAACUGUUGUUUCUUAAUUCCCUCUGCUAAGGGGCUUCUGAUUAUUGUAGUGCAAAGUUGAUUUCUACUUGAGCUUUCUUUGAUCAAGAUAGAAGCUUAGCCUUGGCUUCAGAAAGUUCAUGUUUCCUUUGUAUAUAUGCGCAUCAUUUUCAUCUACGGCUUAUUUUUGUCUUGGAUUUUUGCAUUUGAGCAUACAUCUGCAAACUUUAACUGCAAAAUUGGCACUAAAUUAUUUUGUAUGUCCGAAUUAAUUCUUCUGAUCUUCUACAGUUACACUCCACACAUGGCAUUUGUGUGAAGCACAGAGAUUCGAAACAAAAGAAGUCUUUGCCUUAAGAGUUUCUACUUUCUAUAUUCAACUACUGUUUUUGUUAUCAGAAGCAGAAUUAUCUGCAGGCAUUCAAAAAAAGAUAAGUGAAAGUCUGUUGUUUUCUAAUUUCAUGGCCUUUUGAUCAUUGCAGUGCAUGCAAAGUUGAUUUCUGCAUCAAUUUUCUUUGAACUCAAAAAAAAAAAAAAAAAAUCACACCGACUUUGUUAGUGUCUGCAAUGUAUUUUGCGUGUAUCAAAAUAGAAGCUCUGUCUUGGCUCUUCAAAGUUCUUAUGUAUUUCCUUGGUAUGUAGCUGUUCAUCCUCUUCUAUAUUCCAUUUGAGUAGAUAUUUGCUAGUUUGGAUGCAGUGACACUUACUUUCUAUUUCCAAAUUAAGUAAUUCUUUUAAACUUAGCUUGAGAGAUAUUUUUAUUUCCACCUUCUGCAGUAUUUUUUUGAUUGUGUUGCUAGUUAAUCUUUAUAACUUCUUUUGUCUUCCUGUUACUGCUUUUACUCAAGAAAAACCUGUUCUUCAACCUCAGUCAUCAGUGAAUGGCUGCUUAAUUUGCAACCUCUGUUGCUUCUGCUACUCUGGGAAAUUGGGCAGUGUAACACGGAACAGUUCAUGUUCGUUACUUUUUCUGUUUUGGCAAAAUCGUUGAAGAUUUCAGUAAUCAAAGCAAAAUCGUUGGAAAUUGGGCAGUGUCCCAAACUCCGAAUAUCAACAAUAUUCAAGGAAAAAUGGCAGACUUCCUGCAUUUAAAUUUUCAAAAGACGACUUUAGAAGGAAGAGCAGGACAAUUGUGGUUGAGAAUAAAAGACGUGAAGAGCAUUUUUUUUUUUUUGAAAGAUGGUAUUUUAUUGAUCCAGCCAUUCAACCUGCCACUUUAAGUCUUAAGUCCCUCAUAGACUAAAGACUCUUGAUGGCAUAAGAGUUGUCUUAGCUGGGAGAAGACUCUACGAUUGCAUCCUGAAGGAGCUGCCUACAAAAGGAUUGGCAGCACAACUACAUGAGCAAAAGAAACCUAAACAAAAAGUUAUCUAAGUUCCUAUGCACAUCAAUAAAAUUUCUAAAUGGCUCGUCAAAACAAAAAUAUUAAGCCAUACGCGUCCUUAAUUAUAAUCCUUGGUGAUUUUUGGGAAGAGCUUGGCUUGAAGGUUAUAGGAAUUUCGUUCGGUGAUGAACAGUUGCAAAAUUUUUCUAACCACGCAUCUUAAACAAGUUUGCACUCGAUUGAAAUGUCAAAAGGAAGUUCAACUCAACAUCUUAUCUGAACAUGAAGUUUGGGCUUUAUUCAAAGGUAAUGCUGGGCUAAAAGAUGUCACUUCCCCCUUCAAUGAUGUAGCUAGGGAGGUUGCCGGAGAAUGCAAAGGUUUGCCUCUUGCAAUUGUAACUUUGGGAAGAGCUUUGAAAGAUGAAACCCUGGACGGUGGAAAGUAGUGUAUCAGCGACUGAAAGACUCUAGACAUAUAGAGAAUCAAGAUGUUUACGGAGGUAUUUACAGCAGUCUUUAAAAUUAGUUAUUAUUGUUUAAAAAAGGACAAUAGCCGUUCAUGUUUAUUAUUGUAUUCACUUUUUUAGAAGAUCGUGAGAUUAGAAUCGAUGAAUUAACUAUAUACAGAAUUAGGCAAGGAAUGUUUGAUGGUGUUGAUUUAAUUUAAGAUGCAAGGAGGGCGAUGCGUGUAAUAAUAAAAAAUCUCCAAAAGUCAAGUUUGUUGUUGAAAACUAAUAAUGAAAGGCGUGUGAAAAUGCAUGCUGUGGUUCGUGAUUUUGUUUAUUGGAUGACGUCGAGAGGAAAAAACACAGUCAUGAUGAAAAGUGGGUUAAAACUAUGACCUACGAGUGAAAGUUUUCAAAUGUUACACAAAAUCUCAUUAAUGAAGAACAAAAUAAAUAUUUUUCUUGACAAAUUGAAGGUUUCAAAUCCCAUUAAUUAUAAAGUUUUCGAUUUUAUUAGAUUAUGAUUAUAAUUAUGAUAGCUGGAGUUUAGUAAGAGUACCAAAUAUGUUUUUUCAAAGAAUGAAAGCCCUCAAAGUUUUAGUUCUUAUAAGUGUGUUGGUGUCAUUGGAAGAAUCACAAUUCUUCACAAACUUUCGAACUCUAUACUGGGAAAAUUGUGAGCUGGAGAAUGCUUCAGCAUUGGGAAUUUGAAAGAACUUGAAUUUAUUAUUACUCCUUUUUCUGAUAUCAAGAAGCUACCUUAUGAAUUAUGGGAAUUGACUACUCUAAGAUUUCUGGUUAUAAGGAAUGAGUCUGAGAGUUUUGAUUUACCCCAAACUUGCAACCAACGUGAGUAGUAGAUCGGACUCUUAUAAUAUUGCUUUCAAGUAUUAUUUAUUAUUAAUCUUAUUUAUUUUUCUACUGUUAUACUCUAUGAAAAUCUUUGUAAAAGUAAUUGCAAUGUUUAAUAAAUUUAUAUUAUAAAUUAUUAUCAUUAAAGUAGAAUUUUUUAAAAGAAAUUAAUUAAAAAAAAGAAAAACUCUUAAUACAUUUACCUUUCAAUUAAAAUUUAAAUCAAAUAUAUAAAAAGUAUAUAAUAAUGUCGAUAGCCCAUGAUGGCCGAAGAGCUUCUAGAGGGAGCAUUAAUAGCACAUGAGAAGUGUGAGCCAUGUUGUCAAUUUGUCUUGUACAGAGAACCUUCUCUUUUUUUUUUUUUCUUUUUCUGUCUCAAACAUUGAAUGCAUUCAUACCUUUUAUUUUGCCCAUAUUAAAACCUGCCUUUUGUCACGAGUUCUUUCAGUAUUUAAGCAGCAAGCGCUGGGUCUAAUGGCCGCACAAACACUUCCAUCUUAUCUUUGCAAACAGGAGCUCGUGAUCAACAAUGGCAUGUGNGCGUGAUCAACAAUGGCAUGUGGGCACACUUCGAUUGCUGAUACUGCUGCUGUUGCUGCUGCUCGAUCAAAUGUUUCAUACGAGCGUACCUUGGUCAGCGUCGAGUAUGUACGUGUGAACAAUAUUGAUAAAGAGACUCCUGGUCACCUCUACGGAACUGUGAAGGUCAAGGGCUUUUGGGGUCUUCAUACGGUGUAUGAUCGGAGUUCAAGUGACUACGAGAGCAAAGGUCCUGGCGAAUUCGCCACAUUGACAGGCCAUACAAAAAGCUCUUGCUGAAAUUUAUUUUAAGAACAGACACCAUUUGAAAACAUCGAAAC
rnacentral:lncRNA from 1 species